rnacentral:rRNA from 1 species
UGUAAGCGUAUACCAGAGUUGUUGCAGUUAAAACGCUCGUAGUCGGAAUUUGGCAGUUCCGGAUGUGUGCACGUCGUGUGCGCACUUCGCGGGGAUUGCUUUUGUGGUCUUGCGUAGGAUGAGGCACUUUUAUUAGUGAACGUCCUCACGCAACCACUUUUUACUGUGAGAAAAUCAGAGUGCUCAAAGCAGGCAUUUGCCGUGAAUGUAUUAGCAUGGAAUAAUAGAAUAGGACUUGGUUCUAUUUUGUUGGUUUGUUGGGACUGAGUAAUGAUUAAGAGGGACAGUUGGGGGCAUUUGUAUUUCGGCGCUAGAGGUGAAAUUCUUAGAUUGCCGAAAGACAAACUGCUGCGAAAGCGUCUGCCAAGGAUGUUUUCAUUGA